GCCACGGCUUCGUCCAAGCCCUGCUUUUAAAACCAUUUAACCCGAUGGUGUUAAAGCUAGUCGGUGGAUCAGGAUUCCGCCGAUUGGACCCGAAGAGGACAUGAACUCACCUACCUCUACCCGUAGUAAUCAUCUUACCGACGCAAACCGGACCGAUCUUGCGCUACCCUUAGCCGCCGUCAUUUCGCUAGCCAUAACAUCUUAUGUUGUUGUCGUCCUCGUUGGAAUAGUUCUGCAAAAGUGGCUUGUAAGGAUUUGUUGUUCGACGAGUGAGUCAACGACAAACUGCUUCUGUGAUAUUUGUUCAAAUUGUUUCAAUUCAACCAAUGUCUGCUGCGGCAACUCAGGAAUCAACUGUUGCAGCCCGCCUAUGAUGAAUUGCUGCAAUGCGGGCACGACCACUUCCUGUAUUUUUUUCAAAGGCUGCAGAGACACAUCACAACCGAUCGAUUGUCAACCCUGUGACUGCUGUUGUUUCGAAAUCGCAUUUCACCUUAAAGGUCGGCAGUCGACUGGAAGCGGCUCCGUGCCGUGAAACCAUCUUUGUGAGAGAAAUUGGCUGCUGCUUGUGGGGCAGGAGCUGGACUGGGAAUCGGUGCACGGCUACGGGGCGGUGAGAUUGAGCGCCUACGACUGGUACCUAAUCUUGGUAGCAGAAAUGUGUUGUCACGAGCUCGUCGAUUCUUCCGCUGGUGAGACUGGGGACUCCUCAACCUGGUCGUUCGAACUGGCGUCCUCACUGGUUGUUCCGUUUCCGGGACGAUAGAAGACAUUUCCAAGGUUUCUUGAUCCCAAUCACGCUCGGCAAAUGAAUGCCUGUUUUAGUUAAAACCAACAAUUGUUGGUGAGGUAUAUUGUUUGUUAUAAAUCUCUUUAUCCAUGAUAACUAUAUACACUGAAUAAUCUAUUGCGAAA